CUCUAGAGGUUAUUGUUUUAAGAUGGAGUCUGCAGUGUGGGUUUGGUGAGAGAUAUAGAUACAAAAGGAUUCUGCCAUGCUGCAUAUCUUUAUACUGAACAAGAGUGAAAGAAAGAGGUCUGUAAGCAAUACUGGCUGGACUCAUCUUUGAUUAGCCUUCCUAAAUGAUUAUGGGCUGGACAGAUAUGAAGUCUGUAGCUAGCCAAAACUAAAGACAGCUUGUUAUAUGAAGAUAUCUUUGAAGGUUGGUAUUGUUUCAUUUGAAAGUGUUUUAGUGAUGAAGACUUGCCCUUUAGAUCUGAUGAUUAGUUUUAUUGAUGCAAGGGAAAGCUGAAACUUCUGUUGGUGUAAUGUCUUGAGAAUGAUCUAGCAUUAAUUUAUUCUGUCAAGGAGAAGGGUCCUGGCCAGGGGCUUGCAAGCGAUUGCUGGUGUUGUAAAGUGUGUGAUGUAUCUCUUGCUGGGUUUUUUUCUUGUUUAUUAAUCAUGUGGAUGUACAGUUGUCAAAUGUUUCUUGGAGGCAUGUUUUCUGAAAACAGUUUUCUCAGAAUGAGGUGGAAAAAGAAGCUGUGUGCAUGCAGGGCAUCCUUGACCAUAAUGUGGAAGCUGGUGUCGUAGCAAAAGCAGAGUGGCAGAAUUGAUUUCUUUUCCAAGUGGUUUUGAGCUUUGUUGUUCUCUUUGAAAAACCAUGCUCUGUGUUCUCUUAUACUAAGUGCACAUGUGUGCAAGUGUAAAAUGGGGUUUGCUUUGGAUAAAUCUCUCUGACUACAGUAUUUUUUACUUGUACCCCAGUCUGUCAUUCUUAUUUCAGUCUUCAUAUAAUCAUUAUUUUGAAGUUACUUAUUUAAGUCAUUAUAUUGGGUAGUAAUUUAAGAUACUUUGUUUAUACUGCUUGCCAUUUAAAAACACAUUGACCAGAAAGUGAGUUUAUGUCAGUCUGUGUAAAUAAAUCUUGUAAUUCCCUA